rnacentral:lncRNA from 1 species
UUUUUUUUUCAGAGUCUGACUCAGAGGCUGGAAAACACAAGUGGUAUACAUUUUUUAAAUAAAAGGAGGAGAGAAAGAAUCAGGUGACAUGGAAAAGACUAGUUCCCCAAAGCAGCUCAUUCGAAUAGUCACGACUGCAAAAGAACGUCUACUCCCAAGCUGUUCCCGUCCAGGAUGGAACCACCCCAGGCUUUCAUGUUUCAAGGCUCCUCCAGACAAGAGGAUCAAGCAGGACUGGGGAAGAACAUGCUGGCUCUGCUGAGGCCGGUCUGCUGGCGGGGGAGGCCACGUUCACAUCU